CAAUAGCGUAUAUUAAAGUUGUUGCAGUUAAAAAGCUCGUAGUUGGACCUUGGGCCUGGACGGGCGGUCCGCCUCACGGCGUGUACUGUCUUGCCGGGCCUUUCCUCUUGGUGAUCUGUUGUUUCGGCAGCAGGGAACCAGGACCUUUACUGUGAAUAAAUUAGAGUGUUCAAAGCAGGCUUACGCCGUUGAAUAUGCUAGCAUGGAAUAAUAAGAUAGGACCUUGGUACUAUUUUGUUGGUUUGCGCACCGAGGUAAUGAUUAAUAGGGACAGUUGGGGGUAUUCGUAUUGCAUUGUCAGAGGUGAAAUUCUUGGAUUUUUGCAAGACGAACGACUGCGAAAGCAUUUACCAAGGAUGUUUNCAUUAA
rnacentral:rRNA from 1 species